rnacentral:lncRNA from 1 species
CUUUCGGUUACCAGGAUCUCAGAGAUGAAGGUACGAGCAUCCAUUAUAUUUCUAUUCUCAAGCAAAAACAAGAAAAGACUCCUAAUGACAAUUAAGUAAAAUUAGCUCUGAUACCAAUGAAAGAAAGACCUAUGUGAUCAUUUGCCUGGGAAAUACAAUUUUUUUUUUAAUAAUAAUAAUCGCCCCUUAUAAUUUUGGCAACAAGAUCACUCAUAGAUGGUCUUAUUACAAACAAUAGAAAUUCUAAAAAUAAAUAUCACAUCAAUAAAAUAAAUCUCAAUUACUCGAUGCCAUUCAUACAACCUAAUAUUGUGCUUGAGAAUAUAAAAUAAAAGAACAAACAAAUAAAAGAAAAGAUGCCGGAUAUUACUUCAACCAGGCUUUUUACACCCCACACCGAGUCACCACAUCCAAUGAUGCGGGAUUAGCGGUCUAGCUUCAAUCUCGAACCGAGAAAGUUAUUUUCGACCAAAUUAGG